rnacentral:rRNA from 1 species
CAAUAGCGUAUAUUAAAGUUGUUGCAGUUAAAAAGCUCGUAGUUGGAUUUCUGGUGGGAGCGAUCGGUCUGGCGCUUAGCGCGAGUACUUGCAUCGUCUCCGGCCAUCCUUGGGGAGAGUCUGUCUGGCAUUAAGUUGUCGGGCAGAGGAUCCUCAUCGUUUACUGUGAAAAAAUCAGAGUGUUCAAAGCAGGCUUAUGCCGUUGAAUAUAUUAGCAUGGAAUAAUAAGAUAGGACUUUGGUACUAUUUUGUUGGUUUGCGCACCAAAGUAAUGAUUAAUAGGGACAGUUGGGGGUAUUCGUAUUCCGUUGUCAGAGGUGAAAUUCUUGGAUUUACGGAAGACGAACUACUGCGAAAGCAUUUACCAAGGAUGUUUUCAUUAA